ACAUAAUGGUAUAUAAGAAAUUAUUCGAGAUAUUUAUUCUAAUUUGCAGAUCGAAAUGUGUGGAAUUUUAGCUCUGUUUGGAGCUGAAAACUGCAAUGGAGAUUUAAGAGCUGAGCUGCUCUCUCUGUCUAAGUUACUCCGGCACCGAGGUCCGGACUGGAACGGAAUUACAUGCUUCAGGAAUUGUUACCUAGCUCAUGAAAGAUUAGCGAUCAAUGGACUGCUGUCGGGUGCUCAGCCCAUCACUAAUAUAUCCGGGGACUUGGCCUUGUCGGUCAACGGGGAGAUUUAUAAUCACCUGGAAUUGCGAGCUGAACUAGAGAAGAUAAAUCCCAAUGUUGUUUUUACAACGGAUUCAGAUUGCGAAGUCAUUUUGCAUCUUUUCAAAGAACAUGGACCAGAAUUCCUGAAAAAGGUGUACGUGAACGGAAUGUACGCUUUUGUUUUGUACGACAACUCUACUGAUACAUACUUUGUAGCCCGGGACCCUAUUGGAAUUAUCCCCUUGUAUAUUGGAUAUGGAUCUGAUGGUACUAUUUGGUUCUCCUCGGAACUAAAAGGUCUGCAAAAGAACUGUGAUCACAUCGAACUCUUUCCACCAGGCCAUUAUGUUGUUGGAAAUUCCUUGAAGAAGGAGAAAUUGAACCCUGAACCUAAACCCUUCUAUCAGGAUGAAUGGAUUUCUAAUCCUGAUUUUAUUCCCUGCAACCCAGUAGACUACACAGUAUUGAGGAAUAAUCUUGAGAGUGCUGUGCGUCGACAUCUUCUGGCUGAGGUUCCCUUCGGAGUUCUUCUCUCAGGUGGGUUGGACUCCUCUCUGGUUGCUUCUAUAGCACUAAGGGAAUACAAUAAGGCUGGAAAUCAAGGAAAAUUAAGAUCUUUCUGUAUUGGUUUGAAGGGAUCCCCUGAUCUGGCUGCUGCAGAACAGGUUGCAAACUUCCUGGGGACCCGACACUUCUCAUUCGAGUUCACUGUUCAACAGGGUCUAGAUGUACUGCAUGAUGUUAUCUACCAUCUGGAGACCUUUGAUGUGACAACUGUAAGGGCCAGUACUCCAAUGUUCCUACUGUCUAGAAGAGUAAAGGCAACUGGAGUAAAGAUGGUGCUGAGUGGGGAGGGUGCAGAUGAGAUAAUGGCGGGAUAUUUAUAUUUUCAUAAAGCACCAAACCCUGAAGAACUCCACAAGGAAACUGUUAGAAAAUUAAAGGAUCUACACAAGUAUGAUUGCUUGAGGGCGAACAAGUCCACCAUGGCCUGGGGUCUGGAAGCCAGGGUCCCCUUCCUGGACCGGGAGUUCUUAGAGUACGCAAUGAACCUGGAUCCUUCCUGUAAAAUGUCAGGAGACAGGAUUGAGAAGUAUGCUUUAAGAAAGGCAUUUGAUACUCCUGAGGAUCCGUAUCUGCCUCAAGAGGUUUUAUGGAGGCAGAAGGAACAGUUCAGUGAUGGAGUUGGCUACGGAUGGAUAGAUCAUCUGAAGAUUGAGGCAGAGAAUUCUGUGACAGAUCUUCAAAUGAAGUUUGCUUCUUCAAGGUUCCCUGUGUCUACUCCUCGUACUAAAGAGGAAUACAUGUACCGGGACAUCUUUUCUAAACACUUCCCCGCACCCGCAGCAGCUGCUACAGUGCCCCAGGGUAAAUCUGUAGCAUGUUCCACCCCUGCAGCUAUGGCCUGGGAUGAAUCUUUCUCCAGAAACGCUGAUCCUUCCGGUCGAGCCAUUGCAGGAGUUCAUGUUAAAGCGUACGAGUAAAAUCGUGGAGUUAGCGUUCAAGAAGAAUCGCGCUGAACCGUACGAAUUAAAUGCAAUUUUCCAAGCUUAUCACUGAUGUUACGUAUCGUCAGUACAAAAAACAUUUUUUUUCUUUUUGUAAAAGAUUUGUAAUACAUUUUCGUGCUAAAU
rnacentral:misc_RNA from 1 species